CCUACGGGGGACAGCAGUGAGGAAUAUUGGUCAAUGGACGAGAGUCUGAACCAGCCAAGUAGCGUGAAGGAUGACUGCCCUAUGGGUUGUAAACUUCUUUUAUAUGGGAAUAAAAUGUUCCACGUGUGGGAUUUUGUAUGUACCAUAUGAAUAAGGAUCGGCUAACUCCGUGCCAGCAGCCGCGGUAAUACGGAGGAUCCGAGCGUUAUCCGGAUUUAUUGGGUUUAAAGGGAGCGUAGGUGGAUUGUUAAGUCAGUUGUGAAAGUUUGCGGCUCAACCGUAAAAUUGCAGUUGAAACUGGCAGUCUUGAGUACAGUAGAGGUGGGCGGAAUGCGUGGUGUAGCGGUGAAAUGCUUAGAUAUCACGAAGAACUCCGAUUGCGAAGGCAGUUCACUGGACUGCAACUGACACUGAGGCUCGAAAGUGUGGGUAUCAAACAGGAUUAGAUACCCGGGUAGUC
rnacentral:rRNA from 1 species